AUUGAACGCUGGCGGCAGGCCUAACACAUGCAAGUCGAGCGGAGCGGCGGGCGGGUGAGUAAUGCCUAGGAAUCUGCCUGGUCGUGGUGGAUAACGUCCGGAAACGGGCGCUAAUACAGCAUACUAUCUGAUGGGCAUAGGCCGGAUGAGCUAGUUGGGGGGGUAAAGGCUUAUCAAGGCGACGGUCCGUAACGGGUCUGAGAGGUUGAUCAGUCACACUGGAAUUGGGACACGGUCCAGACUCCUACGGGAGGCGGCAGGGGGGAAUAUGGGAAAAGGGGCGAAAGCCUGAGCCAGCUAUGCCGCGUGUGUGAAGAAGGUCUUCGGAUUGUAAAGCACUUUAAGUUGGGAGGCGUUACCAACAGAAUAGGCACCGGCUAACUCCGUGCCACCAGCGCGGUAAUUC
rnacentral:rRNA from 1 species